GGGUCAGUAGGUCGGUCGUGCCACUGGUAUGAACUGGUUUUACUGAUUCCUCCCUCUUGACGAACCAUGAUGUCAUUAAUUUGGUGUUAUGGGGAGUUAGGACUGUUACUUUGAAAAAAUUAGAGUGUUUAAAGCAGGCUUUAGCUUGAAUACAUUAGCAUGGAAUAAUGAAAUAGGACGUUCGAACCUAUUUUGUUGGUUUCUAGGAUCAACGUA
rnacentral:rRNA from 1 species